rfam:Candida tropicalis MYA-3404 genomic scaffold supercont3.3, whole genome shotgun sequence.
AGCUCCGUAGUGUAGUGGUAUCGCGCGAGGCCCAUAACCUCGAGAUCCCAGGAUCGAAACCUGGCGGAGCUA